rnacentral:rRNA from 1 species
AGAGUUUGAUCCUGGCUCAGGACGAACGCUGGCGGCGUGCCUAAUACAUGCAAGUCGAGCGAACAGAGAAGGAGCUUGCUCCUUUGACGUUAGCGGCGGACGGGUGAGUAACACGUGGGCAACCUACCCUAUAGUUUGGGAUAACUCCGGGAAACCGGGGCUAAUACCGAAUAAUCUAUUGUCCCUCAUGGGACAAUACUGAAAGACGGCAUCUCGCUGUCGUUAUAGGAUGGGCCCGCGGCGCAUUAGCUAGUUGGUGAGGUAACGGCUCACCAAGGCGACGAUGCGUAGCCGACCUGAGAGGGUGAUCGGCCACACUGGGACUGAGACACGGCCCAGACUCCUACGGGAGGCAGCAGUAGGGAAUCUUCCACAAUGGGCGAAAGCCUGAUGGAGCAACGCCGCGUGAGUGAAGAAGGAUUUCGGUUCGUAAAACUCUGUUGUAAGGGAAGAACAAGUACAGUAGUAACUGGCUGUACCUUGACGGUACCUUAUUAGAAAGCCACGGCUAACUACGUGCCAGCAGCCGCGGUAAUACGUAGGUGGCAAGCGUUGUCCGGAAUUAUUGGGCGUAAAGCGCGCGCAGGUGGUUUCUUAAGUCUGAUGUGAAAGCCCACGGCUCAACCGUGGAGGGUCAUUGGAAACUGGGAGACUUGAGUGC